rnacentral:rRNA from 1 species
GACGAACGCUGGCGGCGUGCCUAAUACAUGCCAGUAGAACGCUGAAGGAGGAGCUUGCUUCUCUGGAUGAGUUGCGAACGGGUGAGUAACGCGUAGGUAACCUGCCUGGUAGCGGGGGAUAACUAUUGGAAACGAUAGCUAAUACCGCAUAAUAGUAGAUGUUGCAUGACAUUUGCUUAAAAGGUGCAAUUGCAUCACUACCAGAUGGACCUGCGUUGUAUUAGCUAGUUGGUGAGGUAACGGCUCACCAAGGCGACGAUACAUAGCCGACCUGAGAGGGUGAUCGGCCACACUGGGACUGAGACACGGCCCAGACUCCUACGGGAGGCAGCAGUAGGGAAUCUUCGGCAAUGGACGGAAGUCUGACCGAGCAACGCCGCGUGAGUGAAGAAGGUUUUCGGAUCGUAAAGCUCUGUUGUAAGAGAAGAACGAGUGUGAGAGUGGAAAGUUCACACUGUGACGGUAUCUUACCAGAAAGGGACGGCUAACUACGU